GAUGAACGCUAGCGGCAGGCCUAACACAUGCAAGUCGAGGGGCAGCGCAGGUGGCAACACCGGGCGGCGACCGGCGCACGGGUGAGCAACGCGUAUGCAACCUGCCCCCCGCAGGGGGAUAGCCCGCCGAAAGGCGGAUUAAUACCCCAUCGCCCCGUUGUCCGGCAUCGGACGGCGGGUAAAGGAGCGAUCCGGCGGGGGAUGGGCAUGCGUGCCAUUAGCUGGCUGGCGGGGUAACGGCCCACCAGGGCGACGAUGGCUAGGGGGCCUGAGAGGGUGGUCCCCCACACGGGUACUGAGACACGGACCAGACUCCUACGGGAGGCAGCAGUGAGGAAUAGUGGUCAAUGGGCGGAAGCCUGAACCAGCCAUGCCGCGUGCAGGAAGACGGCCCUACGGGUUGUAAACUGCUUUUCCGGGGGAAGAAUAAGGGCGCUGCGGCGCCCGAUGCCGGUACCCCGGGAAUAAGGAUCGGCUAACUCCGUGCCAGCCGCCGCAGUAAAAC
rnacentral:rRNA from 1 species